rnacentral:rRNA from 1 species
GCUAAUACAUGCAAGUCGAGCGGACAGAUGGGAGCUUGCUCCCUGAUGUUAGCGGCGGACGGGUGAGUAACACGUGGGUAACCUGCCUGUAAGACUGGGAUAACUCCGGGAAACCGGGGCUAAUACCGGAUGGUUGUUUGAACCGCAUGGUUCAGACAUAAAAGGUGGCUUCGGCUACCACUUACAGAUGGACCCGCGGCGCAUUAGCUAGUUGGUGAGGUAACGGCUCACCAAGGCGACGAUGCGUAGCCGACCUGAGAGGGUGAUCGGCCACACUGGGACUGAGACACGGCCCAGACUCCUACGGGAGGCAGCAGUAGGGAAUCUUCCGCAAUGGACGAAAGUCUGACGGAGCAACGCCGCGUGAGUGAUGAAGGUUUUCGGAUCGUAAAGCUCUGUUGUUAGGGAAGAACAAGUGCCGUUCAAAUAGGGCGGCACCUUGACGGUACCUAACCAGAAAGCCACGGCUAACUACGUGCCAGCAGCCGCGGUAAUACGUAGGUGGCAAGCGUUGUCCGGAAUUAUUGGGCGUAAAGGGCUCGCAGGCGGUUUCUUAAGUCUGAUGUGAAAGCCCCCGGCUCAACCGGGGAGGGUCAUUGGAAACUGGGGAACUUGAGUGCAGAAGAGGAGAGUGGAAUUCCACGUGUAGCGGUGAAAUGCGUAGAGAUGUGGAGGAACACCAGUGGCGAAGGCGACUCUCUGGUCUGUAACUGACGCUGAGGAGCGAAAGCGUGGGGAGCGAACAGGAUUAG